rnacentral:lncRNA from 1 species
CUGGAGCUUCCUUCAUCACCUUUAAAAAUCCAGCACACCAUGGCCGGUCCCACAGGACAUCCUCAUCCCUGCAAUGGAGGGACACGGCUGUGAGGGCUGGGCUGCUGGCUGGCUGAGGAACUGGCUGGGCUGUGGGCUCCCAUGUCCUGGGGGAGGCCGGUGACCAGGGGUGUCCCUGGGGGCUGUGUGAUGGCACCAGGGCUCUGCAAUCCCUUCCUCACUGACACACACAGCAGCUCGAGCCCACCCUCAGCAUGUUCACAAAGGUGACACAAAACUGCAGGGCAGGUGACAUCCAGGGGGACCUGGACAAGCUGGAGAAGUGGGACCAAGAGAACACGAUGAAGUUCAAUAAAACCACGGGCAAGGGGCUGCACCUGUGCAGGGACAGUCCCAGGCACCAGCACAGAGUGGGGGAAGAGCUCAGAGCUGCCCUGCAGGGAAGGACUUGGGGGUUCCAGUGGAGGAAAAGCUGUACCUGAGCCAACAGCGAGCACUGGCAGCACCAAACGCCAAGCGCAUCCUGAACUGCAGCAAAAGAGUGGCCGGAGGUGGGUGAAAGAGGAGAUGCUGCCCCUCCCCUCUGGGGAGCUGUAACGGGAUCACCUUUUAGGGUCCCGUCCAACCCAAACCCGUCAGUCACCGUGUGGUUCCACGAUAAUGAAUCCUCGGGGCUCCGUUGGUGCCAGCACAGUUCCAUGGCCUCCAGCGACACGAGUGACAACGUUCCGGGGCUGCCGGGCACCGGCGGAUCCCGAGCGCGAGUGACAACGGCCCGGGCGUCCCGCGGCCGCCGCUCCCGGCUCCGCUCAGCCGCGCUCUGCUCGCUGCGGGCGGAGGCGAUCGCGAAACCCCUUCCCAGUGACCGUCCCUGCACGGAGCCGGCACCGCCACCCCACGCGUGGGUACUGCCGUCCCCAUGGACCGCAUCAGUACCCAGAUCCCUAGAUCGGGAGCCGUGUCCCCCAGCAUCCCCAUGCCCCAGCACCAGGAGCCCGUUGUGGGGCAGAGCCCCCUGCCCCAGGAGGGCUCCAUGACCGUGAUGCUGCGUGUGAGGCCCCCCAGCCGCCGGGAGGGUGCUGCACCCCGAGUCCUGCACGUCCUGAACGAGCG